AAAAUUCGUGUAUGACGAUGGUUUUGGUGAAACUUCAUCGAGGGGGGAUUUUGGGUCUGUUGAAUUGUAAUCGCGACUGAAUAUCGAAUAAAAGGGACUCGAGAUUUUUGAGUGUGGAAAUCGAGAAAAAUUUGGUGAAACGGCAUCAUCAAGGGGGGAUUUCGGAGCGGUUGAAUUGUAAUCGUGAUUUAAUAUCGAAGAAAAGGGACUCGAGACUUUUUGGCGCGGAAAUCAAGAAAAAGAUGAUUUGGUCAUGGAAAAUCUACGAGCAACAAGUAAAAAAGCC
rnacentral:lncRNA from 1 species